rnacentral:lncRNA from 1 species
CCGAAGACCGCGGGCUGGACUCCUGGCUUCGCCGCCAGCUCCCGAGGUUUCAGAGCCGUCCCGGGCGUGCCACCGAGAUGCCAAGCCGCCUGCCGUCCUAGAGGGGGCGCAGACUCGGGGCGCGGGCCCCGGGCCAGGGCCUCUUCCGGCUUCGCGCGCCGAGCCCUGGAAUCUAGUUGCUGCCCCCGAGACCCAGGCAGCCCGAGCCCGGCGGCCACAUCCCGCCCAGAGCAUGGCUGGCCUGUCUGCGGUGCCGAGGGAGACCUGGCCCCUUCACUGGAGCUUGGCAGGGCCCGGCUACCUCCCGCUGGCGUUCUAGCACCUUCCGAGCCCCGGAGCAGGACCUGACGGAGCUGCCUGGGGAGACCGGGGCGCGGGUGCGGAACGACCUGGAAGGAGACCGCAGUCCUUUUCGGGUGGAGCCGGGGAAACUGAGGGGCCGGCUGGGUGACGCAGCAGUUAAGUGCGCACAUUCCGCUUCGGCGGACGGGGGUUCGCUGGUCUGGAUCCCGGGUGAGGACAUGGCACCGCUUGGGAAACCAUGCUGUGGUAGGCAUCCCACAUAUAAAG